UUCACUGCUGAGUUCAUUUACUCCUUUAAUAAUCAAAACACACUGAUGAUCACUGCUUACAUUUGUCAUUCACUGCUUUCACUUUUGACACACUUUACAGAAUCAGCUCAACUAACUGAGCGUCACAAUCAUACAGUGGUGUAUAAUAUCGAGCAAAAUCAAAAAACACAAUGGAGAUUAUUAUCAUCAUUUCUGCUCUGAUGAAUGGACUUCUUCUCAUUCUGCUGAUCGUUUUUGCUGCUGGAAAAACACAUUCAUGACGCUGAUCUACUGCAGACACGAGUUACAUAUCAGCCUCAAGACUGAACCAAUCAGUUUGCUGACAGGGGCUUUUUGAGCUGCAUAUGAAUAUUUGUCAAGCCAACUGUCACAGAUCGGUCAGGCUCACUCACGUCCCAAUCACAGUGCACACCCUCACCUGAUUUCUGAUUGAACACACCUGCACCUCAUGAGCACCCUCAUCAAGACUGCUACAUAAACACACACCUCACAACACUCCAGUGUCCGAUCGCAUUCAUAUGAAGAGGACUCUCCAAGCUAUCUAGAUGAUAUGUUGAGCUGCCUACUUGCCUGUUUACGUACCUUCUGUGUCUCCUCCGUCCCAACGUCGGCUCUUGUUGUCAUCUCCUUGUGGAUAUUACCAUUACUCAUCAAAGAGUGCGUUUACAUGCACCCUCUUAAUGCGAUUAUGAUGAGAUUUUGGCGAUAUUGCGAUUUAAUCUUUACCUCAUGUAAACGCAAUACUUCGAUCUAAAUAAUACGAUUAAGCUCAUAAUCGCAGCAAGCAUAAUCGUAUUAACAUAGGUGGCGUACGCCCAGGGGCGUAAAUUUCAUCUAACAGUAGGGGGGGACAAUACACAUAAAAUUUCUGAAGAGCAAUUUUUGAAGGGGACACAAAUAAUACAGCCAAAAUUGUACUUGUAAGGAUAGAUAUGCGUACACAGCAUGGACCAUGUUUAAAUAUGAGUUCGGUUCACCACGCGGUCAUAUUAUAAUUAUUAUUUUGCGUCAUCUAUAGUAUUUUAGGUUUUGUCUGAAACCUAGUAACUUACUUCUCUUUCGCAUUAAUUCAACCGCAUUAAACCCACUGAUCUGCCACUUAACAUCAUAUUGAAGGAAACCCAACACAUAGGACUACAAUAUUAUUACUACUACUAUUAAUAUCAGUUCACACACAGGCUUGUCGCCAUGUUAGUUGUAGUGGGUGACAAGCUACGGUAUUAAGCUUGUUAACCUGCCGCUCCAACUCUACAGCAUGACAUCACGAUCCAGUUAGGUUCAUCAACAAUUACCCCAUCAACUUCGGUCAGAAAUCUUGGUGUAAUCUUUGAUGACCAGCUGACCUUCAAAGACCACAUUGCAAAGACUGCUCGAUCUUGCAGGUUUGCACUACACAACAUCAGAAAGAUCAGGCCCUUUCUGACGGAGCAUGCUGCACAACUUCUUGUCCAGGCCCUUGUCAUUUCUAGGCUGGACUACUGCAGUGCUCUUCUGGCUGGACUUCCAUCAAACACAGUCAAACCUCUACAAAUGAUUCAGAAUGCGGCGGCACGACUGGUCUUCAAGGAACCCAAAAGAGCCCAUGUUACACCUCUCUUUAUCUCAUUGCAUUGGCUACCAAUCGCAGCUCGCAUCAAGUUCAAGACACUGAUGCUUGCUCAUAGAACAACCACAGGCUCAGCACCCGCCUACAUGCACUCACUAUUAAGAAUCUACAUCCCUCCAGAAGUCUGAGAUCUGCUAGUGAGCGACGCCUCGUGGUACCAUCACAAAGAGGCUCAAAAUCACUCUCCAGAACAUUCUCGUUCACCAUUCCUGGCUGGUGGAAUGAUCUUCCCACCCAUAUUCGGAGUACUGGAUCCCUGUCAAUCUUCAAGCAACAGCUGAAAACUCAUCUCUUUCGACACUACUUGACUUCAACCUACACAUAAAAAAAAAAAAAAAAUCUUUCUACUUACUUAUUCCUUCCCUU